rnacentral:rRNA from 1 species
GAUGAACGCUGGCGGCGUGCCUAAUACAUGCAAGUCGAGCGCUGCGGGGACGGUUGCGUAACACUUGGAUACCCUCCUAUACCUCUGCGAUAACUUCGGGAAACCGUAGCUAAACCGGCUACUCAUAUGUGGCUCAGCGGUGCAUUAGCUAGUUGGUAAGGUAACGGCGUACAAAGGCAACGAUGCAUAGCCGACCUGAGAGGGUGAUCGGCCACACUGGAACUGAGACACGGCCCAGACUCCUACGGGAGGCAGCAGUAGGGAAGCUUCCGCAAUGGGCGAAAGCCUGACGGAGCAACGCCGCGUGAGUGAUGAAGGUCUUCGGAUCGUAAAACUCUGUUAUUAGAGAAGCGGUACCUAAUCAGAAAGCCACGGCUAACUACGUGCCAGCAGCCGCGGUAAUAC